UAAGGAAUAUUGGUCAAUGGACGCAAGUCUGAACCAGCCAUGCCGCGUGGAGGAUGAAGGCCCUCUGGGUUGUAAACUUCUUUUAUCUGGGACGAAACACUUCUUUUCUAGGGAGCUUGACGGUACCAGGUGAAUAAGCACCGGCUAACUCCGUGCCAGCAGCCGCGGUAAUACGGAGGGUGCAAGCGUUAUCCGGAUUCACUGGGUUUAAAGGGUGCGUAGGCGGACAUGUAAGUCCGUGGUGAAAUCUCAGGGCUUAACCCUGAAACUGCCAUGGAUACUAUAUGUCUUGAAUGUUGUGGAGGUUAGCGGAAUAUGUCAUGUAGCGGUGAAAUGCAUAGAUAUGACAUAGAACACCAAUUGCGAAGGCAGCUGGCUACACAAAUAUUGACGCUGAGGCACGAAAGCGUGGGGAUCAAACA
rnacentral:rRNA from 1 species